AGAGAUGAAGUAUUAAAGGUACAUUUUAUUUACACUAAAAAAGUUUUCUGCUGAAACGUCUCUA
rnacentral:tRNA from 1 species